AAUAGGUGCUCGACGCCUCUCCUCGGGACCGCAGCGGUAUUCUUCGACGGCUCUCUAUCCCUCCACCUCCUGCACCAUGUAUCGGCCUUCUGCCCUUUCUUGAAGCUCCUUCUCAUCCAAGUGGUCACCUGAUGCUGCCGAGUGGACCACGCUCACUCGCGCCUUCGCCCGCCAGUACCAGGAUUUGCUCGUGUGUUUCAAGUUGAAUACUGGGGAGAUGGAGGAGAUGUGCCAUGGCAGGCUACUGUGGUGGUGAGAUUCAGAGCGGGGGCUUCUUGUUAUACUUAAAUGCACUAUGCUAUCAUGCAUGUCUAAGUCGCGGGCCUAUCUGAAGAGCAAUAAUAUAAAGCUUUUGAGCUUAGGCACAUGAAUCAAGCCCCCAGAAUCCGAUGGUCUACUGAGCCAGUUUUAAGUUGGUGAGGAAGGGUGGAGCAGUGAACCUUGCCACACAACGGCACCCCCUUCGCCUGAUGACCUUUUCCGAUCACGAUGACCUCCUGUCGCUGCUGAAGGAAUUGGAAACAGUACUGGAGGAAUUGUGAUCUAUGUCAAGGGUGAUGAUGUCUAUGGAAAUGAUUGUUGAGCGUUAUGAUAUAUAUGGGAUGAAGGGUGACGAGUCUAAUGUCUUUCGUCAAGACAUGCAACAAAGUGAAGUUAUGAAGUUCUGGUCAAUUUAGCUUAUGCAUAAUGCUUGGACCAUUAGAUCUUAGUUACUAUUUUAUUUUGCAUUUCAAACUUCCCAGAUAGAUC